rnacentral:rRNA from 1 species
UACAGAAGUCUCAAGCGUUGUUCGGAUUCAUUGGGCGUAAAGGGCGCGUAGGCGGCGAGGUAAGUCGGGUGUGAAAUCUCAGAGCUCAACUCUGAAACUGCACUCGAUACUGCUUUGCUAGAGGACUGGAGAGGAGAUUGGAAUUCACGGUGUAGCAGUGAAAUGCGUAGAGAUCGUGAGGAAUACCAGAGGCGAAGGCGGCUACCUGGACAAUUGCUGACGCUCAGGCACGAAAGCGUGGGGAGCAAAAGGG